rnacentral:rRNA from 1 species
GGGCAUCGGGCUUCACUCCCAACCCCUGU